AACGUACUCCCUCCGUCCCAAAAUUCUUAUCAUAGAUUUGCCCAAACAUCCGUAUCUAGACAAAUCUAAGACAAGAAUUUUGGGACGGAGGGAGUAGUUA
rfam:Triticum aestivum genome assembly, contig: Triticum_aestivum_CS42_TGACv1_scaffold_644429_T_2DL-0.100949_5DL-0.055815